rnacentral:rRNA from 1 species
UACGAAGGGGGCUAUCGUUGCUCGGAAUCACUGGGCGUAAAGCGCACGUAGGCGGACUCUUAAGUCGGUGGUGAAAUCCUGGAGCUCAACUCCAGAACUGCCUUCGAUACUGAGAGUCUCGAGUCCGGGAGAGGUGAGUGGAACUGCGAGUGUAGAGGUGAAAUUCGUAGAUAUUCGCAAGAACACCAGUGGCGAAGGCGGCUCACUGGCCCGGUACUGACGCUGAGGUACGAAAGCGUGGGGAGCAAGCAGG